rnacentral:rRNA from 1 species
CCUACGGGAGGCAGCAGUGAGGAAUAUUGGUCAAUGGGCGCUAGCCUGACGCAGCCAAGUAGCGUGAAGGAUGAAUGCCCUCUGGGUGGUAAACUCCUUUUAUAUGGGAAUAAAGUGCAGUAUGUAAACUGGUUUGCAUGUACCGUAUGAAUAAGGACCGGCUAAGCCCGUGCCAUCAGCCGCGGUAAUACGGAGGAUCCGAGCGUUAUACGGAUUGAUUGGGUUUAAAGGGAGCGUAGGAGGGUUGUUAAGUCAGUUGUGAAAGUUUGCGGCUCAACCGUAAAAUUGCAAUUGAUACUGGCAUCCUUGAGUACAGUAGAGGAAUGCGGAAUUCGUGGUGUAGCGGUGAAAUGCUUAGAUAUCACGAGGAACUCCGUUUGCGAAGGCGGCCUUCUGGACUGUAACUGACGCUGAUGCUCGAAAGUGUGGGUAUCAAACAGGAUUAGAUACCCCGGUAGUC